UUAACCUCGCAUAAAAACUGGUUGCGCAACAACUCCAGGCUCGAUGAUCUAGUGUUGGAACACUGGAGAAGAUCGACCCUUCUACGCGUAAGAACGAUUAACGAAGAUUGUGUCAACGUUUUCUUUGAAUGGCCUAGACUCAAAGAUAUAAACGGAUGUAUGUUGAUCGAUAUCGAUUUCAAAAAACUUAUCGGCGAAAAAAGGCUGCUUUUUAAUCGCAGGGGUGCUUUUGUCGAGAAAUUGCGGGAGUUCAUCAAAACGUUUGAGGUCCGUGAUAAGUUAUCACAACCAUGUAUUGACCAGCUCGAAAAAGAGGAGAAUCCUUAAGAUUUCGGCAAUGUGCUUGUUGCGGCUAUAUUCCAAGGCGUUGUGAAUCCAACACAUAACUCACUGCACGAAUUGCCUACAAUUUUGCAGGCCCAACUGGAUUAGUACUUUAUUUGCAACACCCAAGACGAUCUUUCGAAUGCAGUAAACGAUUGGAUGCAAAAUUCAGCAAAUCACGGAGUAGCCAGUUUUGCACGAAUCCAGAUCUAUGGAAAUAAAAAAAAAUUGAAAGAAUUUGGAGUCACUACCGAAGGUGUCUGUUACCACGUGAAAAGCAUAGACGUAAUUAGUAAGCUCAAAUUCCUUCUACAGUUACAGUUUGCUGAAAGUUGCGAAUUGUUUUGGGUGUUCGUUACCCAUUAUUUUUAUGGUUUUACCAAUUCCUCGCCUAAAUUAAGAAAUAGUAGGGGUUACUGCAGCUAUUGGCAUUCCUGGAAGAACGGUCCUAUCAAACAGUAGGGGAGAAUGAGGAUACUUGACCCCUGGGGAUACUUGAUUCCUUAGCUAUAUCUCCAAACUGGAAUGUCGUACAAAGAUCAAAUGUUCUAGAAAAAUGUGCCAAAUAAAACAAAACAGCAAUGGUUGAAGCUCAAAAAAU